AUUGAACGCUGGCGGCAGGCCUAACACAUGCAAGUCGAGCGGAGCGGCGGACGGGUGAGUAAUGCCUAGGAAUCUGCCUGGUAGUGGGGGAUAACGUCCGGAAACGGGCGCUAAUACCGCAUACUAUCAGAUGAGCCUAGGUCGGAUUAGCUAGUUGGUGGGGUAAAGGCCUACCAAGGCGACGAUCCUUAACUGGUAUGAGAGGAUGACCAGCCACCCUGGGACUGAGGCACGCCCCCGACUCCUACGGGAGGCAGCAGUGGGGAAUUGUGCACAAUGGGGAAAACCCUGAUCCAGCCAUCCCGAGUGUGCGAUGAAGGCCUGGGGGUUGUAAAACAAUUUUGGCUGGAAAGCGGUACCUGAAGAAUAAGCCCCGGCUAACUACGUGCCAGCAGCCGCGGUAAUAC
rnacentral:rRNA from 1 species